rnacentral:lncRNA from 1 species
CUGCUGAGCCCACAGUGGCCUGAAGGACAGGGGGGCUGCGUGAUGAGGGUCCUGGGGGGGGUCCCACAGCAUCCGCAGGGAGGCCACGGGGGUCCCAACUGAGAGCUGGAGUCCUGAGGGGUGGGCAGGGGAGGAGGAUAGGGGGCAAUUGUGCCACUAAAAUGGGCAUAACAUGGAAAUGUCAGACUUCUCUGUACCUUAGGAUGUGCUUUGUGUGUUUGAAUUGGGUGGAAAGUUUAAAAAGGAGGGAAAAAGCUCACCUUUUUCUGAAGUAGCCGUCUGCCAUCACUGGUGGCUUUGCCCUUCCUCUUCGCAGCCUUUCCCGGUAGGAGAGAAGGUGUCUGAGGGGAAAGGGGAAGGCAGGCUUCCAGGACGGAGCUCGCUGCGCUUUGUGGGGGCACAACGAGGGGCACCCUUGGUGCACAGCACCGAGAAGGCGAAGGCCACGCUUUGCUUCCCCCCGUGCUUGUCAGUUUGAGGGGAUUCAAGCAGUGUCAGCACCCGGAGCACUUUGUGGUGCUGCUCUCUCGCCUCCCAGGCAGGGCAGGAGGACAAAGUCCAGCGCUUCUGAUGUUUUCCAGCAGCAGCAGCACCAAAAGCAACUCCAGUGUAGCUCUGCUAAGCUGUGCACCGCUAAGGCUGCGCUCAGCCGCCACCAAAUCCUUGGGGUCGGGGAAUUGAGGGCGAUGUGCUACCCCUGAGACACCGGGAUGCUGACCUGCUCCCCUGCUAGGGGCUGCAAUCCUGCAAGAUUUUGGCUUUUGGCAUCGCAGCGGGAGCUGGAUUGGCAUCCGCAGAGCUCCGAGAGGGGAAAGGCCGAGCCGUGAGCCCGCUGCAGGCAAGUGGGGGCUCGGAGAGGGGCUGGCAGCGGGCUCAGCCCGGAGGGGACCCCGGAGACCGGUGGGGACCCGGAGCCCGGUGGGGACCCAGAGCCCGGUGGGGACCCGGAGUCCGGUGGGGACCCAGAGCCCAGAGGGGACCCAGAGCCCGGGGGGGACCCGGAGCCCGGUGGGGACCCGGAGCCCGGUGGGGACGGCAACAGCGACGCUGGAAGGGGUGGAGGGGUGGGGGGGGAAUUCAUCCCCGCAUUUACAUCUCGGGAACCGAGCGUCCCCGGGGGAAUUCCCUGCCGUUCCCCCGGCAAACCCAGAACAAAGCCUUGCGCUUAUCGCCCAGAGCUUUGCAGCUGAGCAAACCCCACCUGCUUCCUCGCUCGGGCAGGUAAAUAGGGCUGGGGGCUCCU